rfam:Schistosoma rodhaini strain Burundi genome assembly, scaffold: SROB_scaffold0002103
AUCCAGUUGACGAGUCCCAAAUAGAACGAAACGCGCGUCAAACUGGAU